AUUGAACGCUGGCGGCAUGCUUUACACAUGCCAGUCGAACGGUAACAGGCCUUCGGGUGCUGACGAGUGGCGAACGGGUGAGUAAUGCAUCGGAACGUGCCCAGAGGUGGGGGAUAACGCAGCGAAAGCUGUGCUAAUACCGCAUGUGAUCUGAGGAUGAAAGCGGGGGACCAAGCAGCAAUGUUUGGCCUCGCGCCUCUGGGGCGGCCGAUGUCAGAUUAGGUAGUUGGUGGGGUAAAGGCCUACCAAGCCGACGAUCUGUAGCUGGUCUGAGAGGACGACCAGCCACACUGGGACUGAGACACGGCCCAGACUCCUACGGGAGGCAGCAGUGGGGAAUUUUGGACAAUGGGCGCGAGCCUGAUCCAGCAAUGCCGCGUGCGGGAAGAAGGCCUUCGGGUUGUAAACCGCUUUUGUACGGAACGAAAAGGCUCUGGCUAAUACCUGGGGCUGAUGACGGUACCGUAAGAAUAAGCACCGGCUAACUACGUG
rnacentral:rRNA from 1 species